AGCGAACGCUGGCGGCAGGCCUAACACAUGCAAGUCGAACGAUCCUUCGGGAUAGUGGCGGACGGGUGAGUAACACGUGGGAACGUGCCCUUUGGUUCGGAACAACUCAGGGAACCUUGAGCUAAUACCGGAUGUGCCCUUCGGGGGAAAGAUUUAUCGCCAUUGGAGCGGCCCGCGUCUGAUUAGCUAGUUGGUGAGGUAAUGGCUCACCAAGGCGACGAUCAGUAGCUGGUCUGAGAGGAUGAUCAGCCACACUGGGACUGAGACACGGCCCAGACUCCUACGGGAGGCAGCAGUGGGGAAUCUUGCGCAAUGGGCGAAAGCCUGACGCAGCCAUGCCGCGUGAAUGAUGAAGGUCUUAGGAUUGUAAAAUUCUUUCUCCGGGGACGAUAAUGACGGUACCCGGAGAAGAAGCCCCGGCUAACUUCGUGCCAGCCGCCGCAGUAACAC
rnacentral:rRNA from 1 species